UAAGCUACUCGGCCUUUUGGCUAAGAUCAAGUGUAGUAUCUGUUCUUAUCAGUUUAAUAUCUGAUAUGUCCUCUAUAUGAGGACUACAUAUUAAGCAGAUUUUGGCAUGAGGGCAGAAAUUUGGAGCUUGCUCCUUUGUCUCCAUAUCGACCUAACGAGUACCAGUGCCGCUGGGAACGGUGCACUCUGU